GAUGAACGCUGGCGGCGUGCCUAAUACAUGCAAGUCGAGCGAACAGACGCGGAGCUUGCUUCUCUGACGUUAGCGGCGGACGGGUGAGUAACACGUGGAUAACCUCCCUAUAAGACUGGGAUAACCUCGGGAAACCGGCGCUAAUACCGGAUAAUAUAUUGAACCGCAUGGUUCAUUAGUGAAAGACGGUUUUGUUGUCACUUAUAGAUGGAUACGCGCUGCAUUAGCUAGUUGGUAAGGUAACGGCUUACCAAGGCAACGAUGCGUAGCCGACUUGCGGGGGGGAUCGGCCACACUGGAACGGAGACACGGUCCAGACUCCUACGGGAGGCAGCAGUAGGGAAUCUGCCGCAAUGGGGGGAAGCCUGACGGAGCAACGGCGCGUGAGUGAUGAAGGUCUUCCGAGCGUAAAACUCUGUUAUUAGGGAAGAACAAAUGUGUACGUAGCUAUGCACGUCGUGACGGUACCUAAUCAAAAAGCCACGGCUAACUACGUG
rnacentral:rRNA from 1 species